rnacentral:rRNA from 1 species
AGAGUUUGAUCCUGGCUCAGGAUGAACGCUGGCGGCGUACCUAACGCAUGCAAGUCGAACGGGGAUUGGGAGCAAUCUUGAUCCUAGUGGCAAACGGGUGAGUAACACGUGGGUAACCUACCCCGGAGUGGGGAAUAACGACCCGAAAGGGUCGCUAAUACCGCAUAAUCUCGGAAGAGGAAAGGUGCAAAUCGCUCUGGGACGGGCCUGCGGCCCAUCAGGUAGUUGGAGGGGUAACGGCCCACCAAGCCGAUGACGGGUAGCUGAUCUGAGAGGAUGACCAGCCACACUGGCACUGAUACACGGGCCAGACUCCUACGAGAGGCAGCAGCGAGGAAUAUUGCGCAAUGGGCGAAAGCCUGACGCAGUAACGCCGCGUGCGGGAAGAAGGCCUUCGGGUCGUAAACCGCUUUUCGGAGGGACGAGGAAGGACGGUACCUCUGGAAUAAGUCUCGGCUAACUACGUGCCAGCAGCCGCGGUAAGACGUAGGAGGCGAGCGUUAUCCGGAUUCACUGGGCGUAAAGCGCGUGUAGGCGGUUCGGCAAGUCGGUUGUGAAAGCCCCUGGCUCAACUGGGGGAGGUCAGCCGAAACUGCGGGACUGGAGGGUCAGAGAGGAAGGUGGAAUUCCCGGUGUAGCGGUGGAAUGCGUAGAGAUCGGGAGGAACACCAGUGGCGAAAGCGGCCUUCUGGCUGACCACUGACGCUGAGACGCGAAAGCGUGGGUAGCAAACGGGAUUAGAUAC